rnacentral:tRNA from 3 species
GACCCCAUCGUCUAGAGGCCUAGGACACUGCCCUUUCACGGCGGCGACAGGGGUUCGAAUCCCCUUGGGGUCGCCA